CGGAGGAUCCAAGCGUUAUCCGGAAUCAUUGGGCUUAAAGGGUCCGUAGGCGGUUUUAUAAGUCAGUGGUGAAAUCUGGUCGCUCAACGAUCAAACGGCCAUUGAUACUGUAGAACUUGAAUUACUUGGAAGUAACUAGAAUAUGUAGUGUAGCGGUGAAAUGCUUAGAGAUUACAUGGAAUACCAAUUGCGAAGGCAGGUUACUACAAGUGGAUUGACGCUGAUGGACGAAAGCGUGGGGAGCGAACAGGAUUAGAUACCCUGGUAGUCCACGCCGUAAACGAUGGAUACUAGCUGUUCGGAGCAAUCUGAGUGGCUAAGCGAAAGUGAUAAGUAUCCCACCUGGGGAGUACGAACGCAAGUUUG
rnacentral:rRNA from 1 species